rnacentral:rRNA from 1 species
CCUACGGGAGGCAGCAGUGGGGGAUAUUGCACAAUGGGGGGAACCCUGAUGCAGCGACGCCGCGUGGGUGACGGAGCGUUUCGGCGCGUAAAGCCCUAUCGGCAGGGAAGAAGAAGGACGGUACCUGACUAAGAAGCCCCGGCUAACUACGUGCCAGCAGCCGCGGUAAUACGUAGGGGGCAAGAGUUAGCCGGAUUUACUGGGUGUAAAGGGGGCGCAGGUGGCAGCGCAAGCCAGGUGUGAAAGGCGGGGGCCCAACCCCGGGACUGCUCUUGAAACUGUGCGGCUGGAGUGCAGGAGGGGCAGGCGGAAUGCCUGGUGUAGCGGUGAAAUGCGUAGAUAUCAGGAGGAACACCGGUGGCGAAGGCGGCCUGCUGGACUGCAACUGACGUUGAGGCCCGAAAGCGUGGGGAGCAAACAGGAUUAGAUACCCCUGUAGUC